rnacentral:rRNA from 1 species
UACAGAGGGUGCGAGCGUUAAUCGGAAUUACUGGGCGUAAAGCGUGCGUAGACGGUUAUUUAAGUCGGAUGUGAAAGCCCCGGGCUCAACCUGGGAAUUGCAUUCGAGACUGAAUAGCUAGGGUACGGUAGAGGGAAGUGGAAUUUCCGGUGUAGCAGUGAAAUGCGUAGAUAUUGAGAGGAACACCGGUGGCGUAAGCGGCUAUCUGGACCGACAUUGACGCUGAGGUACGAAAGCGUGGGGAUCAAACAGG